AUGCUGAGGAGCUGUGCUGCGUGCCUCCGCAUGCUGGGGUCCCUGCGCCCACCACCGGUAGGCCUGCCCCUGCUGGGUAGUGAGCCGUGACCUGUGCUGACCCAAAGCUUAUGAAAGAAGAACAGAUAUCACAGGCCCAGCUCUUCACCAGAAGCUUUGAUGAUGGCCUGGGCUUUGAAUACAUGAUGUUCUAGAAUGACAUUGAGAAAAGGAUGGUUUGCUUAUUUCAAGGAGGCCCUUACCUGGAAGGACCACCUGGAUUCGUUCAUGGAGGUGCCAUUGCAACGAUGAUUGAUGCUACUGUUGGUAUGUGUGCAAUGAUGGCUGGGGGAAUUGUCAUGACUGCCAAUCUCAACAUCAAUUACAAAAGACCUAUUCCUCUUUGUUCUGUUGUUAUGAUAAAUUGCCAACUUGAUAAAGUUGAAGGAAGAAAAUUUUUUGUUUCCUGUAAUGUUCAGAGUGUUGAUGAGAAGACCUCAUACUCAGAGGCAACAAGCUUAUUUAUAAAGCUGAAUCCUGCUAAAAGUCUGACA
rnacentral:lncRNA from 1 species